rnacentral:misc_RNA from 1 species
UCUUAGUACCGGAAAGGAAGAAGAACGGAAGGGCACGCCUGAGUGGUGCACCGACACACGCACACACACAGAGGGAAAAGGUCUGCACUGCGCCGGCGCAACGUCCUAAGCCUUCCUGUCCAAAACGUUUGCGUUUGUGUCAGUUGUGCAUGACGCGCUGCUUUCAGAUCUUUUCUCCUCUUCUUCUCGCCCGGUUUGUCGUACGUGCGUCCGUCCCUUCGCGUAGGCGGCUACAGACAGACAGAGCGCCCGCCUCCUCUCUCUUCCACGUUUCCCCCAGCAGCUACCCGGUGCACACACACACACACACACAUACACACACCUCCCCUGUACGUAGAUCCCUCUUUCCUUGUCUUCUUCCCUCCUGUGCACACGCGUGCACGGCCGUGCUUUCUUCUGCUGCAUCAUCUCUCCCACCCGUGUGAAGAGAAGAGCUACCCCCCGCCACUUGCGUCGAUGAGCGUCUCUCCGAACCCUCCUCACGGGAACGGGCGGACAGCGGUGCUGUCGCCGCUGCCGUCUACCACUGCAGCAGCGGCCGCGGCAGACUACGUCAGUGCUGUUAGUGUGCAGUCGGAUGCGCACCGCGGAUUCGUCACCAGCCAGCGCCUACGGGACAUAGAGGCGCCGUUGAUGGAACACCUUGCCCAGAAGCGAUACGGACACUCUUCUGCCGGCGCCGAAGCUACAAUGGUCAAGUUGCAGCGUGUAGCCGGUCAUACCGCUGUGCCGGCGCCAUUGUCAGGAGUGCAGCAGCGCCGCGCCGACCCCGCCGCCCCACUGAGGAAGGUGCGUGUGCCUCGUGCCAUUCGACAACUACUUGACAUGCACACCAGCCUGGCGCUGAGCUCUGCUGUGUCGCCUCUUGCGACGCAGCAGCACGAAAUCUUGCCGCACCCCCCUGCAGCCACCAUCGUGUCCGCCACACCCGACUGCGCCGUGCAUGAGCGAGUCGGCCUUCUCUACCACCCUCUCGCUGCCGCGCGCACGGCGUACGCGGAGGCGGAGGUGCGGCCGUCCUGCGUUGGUGCCGGCGCGGCCACGGCUGCUGAUGCGACAACCGUCGUGCCUUUCGCCAUGGCCGCCACUGCCGCUGAGAACAAGACGUACUUCGCGCUCGCUGACUUCGACGCUGUUGACGAGGACCCGCGCACACCGGCGGAGUGGCUGGCCAUGGGUGAUAACGACGAAGGUGGUACGCCAGCUACGUCGCGCUUCUUCAAAACCACCGGUCCGGGCGGUGGCACGGUGGUGUGGCGAAAGUGCCGCGUGAGGGAGUACGAUGAGGCCAGGCAGCUCUUUUACGUGCAAUGGGCCGACGGCACGGGCCGAUGGACCCGCCGGCUGAACAUCCGUUUCGACGCCGAGGACGUGGAGCGGUGGGAGGCACGAGUGCGCCGGGCCGACGACUACCGUAGCGACACAGAGGCCGCCAUGCGCGAGGCGCUCUACAUCGAUUCGAUCCCGAAUGCGUGCGUUACGGCGAUGGAGGAGGCACAGAUGGAGCGGGUGCUGCGCAACGUGGCGACGCGAUUCCCCGUGGCCCAGCUGCACGUCAUCCAGCAGCGGACCGAGGAAGCGGAGGCUACGUACUACCGAGCCAUGAAGCUGGCGGUGCACACAUACACGAUGCGCGGCGCCGCAGAGCAGGAGCGGCUGCAGAUUGCCAACUUGCCGCGUGCCGGCGUCGCGGCCCAGCCCUCGCUGCGCGACCUGCGUGGCACCCUCGGCACGCCGUCGCCGAACUUCCUCGUCGCCCGCGCGUAUCUGGCGGAGAACUGCUUCCAGGUGCACGCGCUCAUCCAGGACACGCUGCACUCGCUGCACACGGUGUGGUUCAGCUACACCUCGCAGCUGCUUUGCGUGUCGCACUACGAAGCCCCAGCACUGCCGCUGCGGCUGCCCUUCUUCGUCUCCACGCAGGAGGAGCACGGCAUCGCAGUGGGUGAGCGGCUCAAGGGCGAGUGGACGUCAACUGUGCAGUCCACGGUGCAGAACAACCUCGAUGCGUACUUCAACUUCUACGACGACAACAUGGCGCGGUAUGAGGCCAGCCGGAUGUGCCGCUUCAUGCGCUUGGUGAACUGCAUGAUGCGCUCUCAGCUGCGCGAGCUCGCGAUGACGUCGCUUGAGUCGUACACUGCAUACCUUGAGAAGUAUGCCGUCGUGUGCACCAACGCCGCUGACUUCGACGACGCGGCGGCGGCGGCGAUGGUGGAGGUACUGCCGGAGGAUGUGGCAGAGCGGGCUUACUGGGCGGGGCGCAUUGCCCAGCUUGAGGCGCGUCAAGCCGCGGAGAAGGAGCGCAGGGCGGCGGAGCAGAAGGCUGCACCGAAGAAGCGGCACAGCGACACCGCCGCCGCAGGGGCGCCAAAGGACGAGGCAGAGGAAGCACCGCCUGAGCACCUCCUCUGGUGUCUCGGCACGCCGCCGUUGACAGAGCCGUUAACGCAGCGUGUUGUGCAGCUCAUCCAGCGCGUCAACGGGCUGCAGCCGCUCUUUUACACGAAGCUUGUGGUGGCGUCUCCCUUGCCGUCGAAGACGCCGACGCAGCGCUCCUCCCGGGACUCCGGCGCCGACGAGGGCGAUGCGGCGGAGUGUGCCAUUGCGCUGGACCCGCCGGUGGACGAAAUCGAGCGCUCCGUGCUGCGUGUGGUUGCUCGCUGCCUCGAGCACAGCAACGAGGUGGCGGCCAUGGGUGACCAGUUGUUCCCAUUACUGGAGAUGGCGCCAGCGUAUCUGCGUCCACUCGGCGCCGACGAGGCCGAGGUGGUCGCGGUGCAGGAGCGCGUGUUGGCAGUGCUUCGCGGCAACCGGGCCGCGCCUCUCCAGCUCGUGCAGAUGUACAGAGAAUUCGAAUACUUGGCUACGGCAAACGUGGAGGAGGCCGUCCAGGCGACGCUGGAGCACGUCGAGGCCCUUGAGGAGGUGGACCUCCUGCUGGAGCGGCUGAGCCGCGACCGCCGUCGUCUCGCGGAGCGCACGCCGAACACUGUCACCUUCGAGCUUUACGCAGUGGACUGCUGCGAGCUGAAGGCGGCGCUGACCGCCAGGGCAGUGCAGCUGCAGGAGGCGCUGCUGGAGGCAGUGGCCACGCGGCUCGCCGAGGAAUGCGCCGGCGUGCUCAGCGCGUACGAGGCCAUCAACGCCGAGCUCACCGUCGAGCCGACGACGCCGGAGGAGCUGCAAACGAUGCGGGCCGCCCUUGCCGCCGUGGCGGCGCGCGAGGCGGCAAUCCAAGUAAUCUUCCAACAUGUGACGGAAGGCAACGAGCUCCUGCUCCGCUACGGCUACCUCGUGCCGCAUGACGAGUUUGUGCACUACUGGGAGGCGUACGAGUGUCCCAAGAGACUGGCGCAGCUCGUGGAGGACCGCAACUUCCGCGCCAAGGAGUACCGCGCCGUCUUCAUCCAGCAGCUGCGCGAAAACAGCGAGCAGCAGGCAUACGCGAUCAUGCAGCUUGCCGCCAGCGUGGAGGACUUCACUCACCUUUGCGACGACGCGCGUGCGGAGGAGUACUACGAGCGGGCCCGCGCUAUCGAGGAGUCGAUUCAGUCCAGCAAGGCAUCUGUCGCCCUGUACGGGCGCCACGAGGAGCUGUUUGGGAUGACGGUCACGACGUAUCCGCAGCUGACGGAGAUACAGCAGCUUUUCGAGCCGUACUUUGCGCUGUGGGAAGUGGUUUACCAUUUCAACGCCGAGACGGAGCGCUGGAUGAGCACCAAGAUCGCGACGCUGAAUCCGAGAGACGUUGAUCAGAAGGUGUCGGACUGGACGAAGCGCGUGGCGGCGCUGUCGAGGAAGAUCAAGGAGCCGGAGGCGAUCGAGGUGGCACGGCAGCUGCGGGCGAACAUCGAGCAGUUCAAGCCCCUCGUGCCGCUGCUAUAUGCCCUGCGCAGCCACCUGCAGGCGGGCCACUGGCGCGCCAUUUAUCAGCAGUGCGGCAUCCCGCGUGAGCAGCAGGGCUUCGGCCCCGGCGGGGUCGACAACAAUGACCAGCGCACCCUCUCCGAUUUUGUGCAGCUGGGCAUGAUGGAUCACCUGACAUCGAUCGAGAGCGUCGCAUCGGUGGCGCAGAAAACGUACGAGUUGGAGUCGGAGCUGAUGAACAUGGUGACGGAGUGGAAGCGGCUGGUCUUCGAGAUGGAGCCGUACCAGGACACGUUCAAGCUCAAGGCGAACGAUGCUAUGCAGCUUACUUUGGACGAGCACAUUCUCAAGACUCAGUCGAUGCUGGGCAAGCCCACGGUGCGGCAGACUCCAGCCCUGCAGGCACGCGUCAGCCAGUGGUCUGACCAGCUGAACAACACGCAGAGCACCAUGGACGAGUGGUUCCGCUGCCAGAGCACGUGGUCCUACCUGGAGCCGAUCUUCGUCUCCGCCGACAUCUCACGUAGUCUGCCGGCGGAAAAAAAGAUGUUCGUGGAGAUUGAUGAGACGUGGCAUGCCGUCAUGGCCCGCACCCGCGCCACCCCCCAGAUCAUUACCCGCUGCCAGGACGACAGCCUCUACAAGACCCUCAGCAGCGCCAACACGAAUCUCGAGGAGAUCUUGCGCAAGCUGCAGCAGUUCCUCGAGACGAAGCGUAUGGCGUUUCCGCGCUUCUACUUUAUUUCAAACGAGGAGCUGCUGCAGAUCCUGUCCGACAGUCGCGACCCGUAUCUCGUGCAGCCGUACCUGUGCAAGUGCUUCGAGGGCAUCAAGACGCUGACCUUCGCCGACCACCACGACAUGGUCGGCAUGGAGUCGGCGGAGGGCGAGCGGGUGCUCUUUGUACGCACCGUCAACCCCAGUGACCACCACAACCAGGUGGAGCUGUGGCUGCAGGCCGUGGAGAACGUCAUGAAGGCGACGAUACGCGAUCAGCUGCAGCAGGCCAUCGGUGACUACACGCAGCGCAAGCGGACGGAUUUUAUCCGGGCGUGGCCGGGGCAGGUCGUCAUCGCUGUUUGCUGCUUUUUUUGGACAAUGGAGGCGACGCAGGCGAUGACGGCGGAUGGCACGGUGGGGCUGACGACCUACUAUGAGAAGUGCGCGCGGCAGCUGGACGACUUGAUCCUGCUCGUGCGUGACAGCGGCCUCGGCAACGUGGCGCGGUGCACCCUUGAGGCGCUUGUCGUCAUUGAGGUGCACGCCAAAGACAUUCUGCGCAUGCUUGGCGAGAAGGGCGUCGAAUCGCCGUCGAGCUUCGACUGGCUAGCGCAGCUGCGGUACUACUGGGAGGGCGAGGAGGACAAUCAACAGCUGACAGUGCAGCAGAUCAACGCCUCGCUGCGAUACGGCUACGAAUACCUUGGCAACACGGGUCGCCUCGUCAUCACACCGCUGACGGAUCGGUGCUACCGCACACUCAUCGGGGCGCUGCAUCUGAACUACGGCGGUGCGCCGGAGGGGCCGGCCGGCACCGGUAAGACAGAGACCACGAAGGACCUCGCCAAGGCGCUAGGCAAGUAUUGCGUCGUGUACAACUGCUCCGACCAGAUCUCGGCCAAGGAUAUGGCGAAGUUGUUCAAGGGGCUGACACAGGCCGGCGCGUGGGGCUGCUUCGAUGAGUUCAACCGUAUCGAGAUCCAGGUGCUGUCAGUGAUUGCGCAGCAGAUCGCGACGAUCCAGGAGGCAAUCAUCCAGAAACGGCCUGAGUUCAUCUUCGAAGGGGCGCAGAUCCGGCUGGACAGCGGGUGCGCUGUGUUCGUGACGAUGAACCCCGGCUACGCCGGCCGUGCGGAGCUGCCGGACAAUCUGAAGGCGCUCUUCCGGCCUGUGGCGAUGAUGGUGCCGAACUACGCCAUGAUCGGUGAGAUUCAGCUCUACUCAUACGGCUUCCUGCACGGCAAGGUCCUCUCGGAGAAGAUUGUGGCGACGUACCGGCUGUGCUCGGAACAGCUCUCCUCGCAGGACCACUACGACUACGGCAUGCGCGCGGUGAAGGCGGUGCUGACGGCGGCGGGGCGGCUGAAGCGGGCGUACCCGAUGGAGGAUGAGAUGGUGCUCAUGCUGCGCUCCAUCCAGGACGUCAACCUGCCGAAGUUUCUGUCGCAGGAUGUGGAGUUGUUCAGGGGCAUCGUAUCGGACCUCUUCCCGGGGGUGCAGCUGCCGGUACCGGACUACGACGACAUGCACAACGCCCUCGUCACCGUCGCCACGCAGGACAACCUGCAGCUAACCACGUACUUCGAGGAGAAGAUCUGCCAGACGUACGAGAUGAUCUGCGUGCGCCACGGUAUGAUGCUGGUCGGCUACUCGUACGGAGGCAAGACAAAGGGGUUGCGGUCGCUCGCUGCCGCACUGGAGGUGAUGGAGCAGACGAACAAGUCGGAGCACCGCGCUCGCAUGGUCAUCAUUAACCCCAAGUCCGUCACCAUGGCGCAGCUGUACGGCAAAGUCGAGCUCUCAGGUGAGUGGACGGACGGCAUCCUUUCAAGCCGAUUUCGCGAACUCGCACAGGACACGUCGGAGGACCGCGUGUGGCUUGUGCUGGACGGUCCGGUGGACGCGGUGUGGAUCGAGAACAUGAACACAGUGCUGGACGACAACAAGAAGCUGUGCCUGCAAAACGGCGACAUCAUUCCAAUGCCGAAGCGGAUGAACUUGAUCUUCGAGGUACAGGACCUGGCGCACGCGUCCCCCGCCACGGUGUCGCGGUGCGGUAUGGUGUAUGUCGAGCCGCAGUCGCUGGGCUGGGCCUGCCUGCUGGAGUCGUUCUUCAACACGCUGCCGCCGUUUAUGACAGAGACGCCGCAGCUGGCUGACACGCUGCGCUCCCUGAUCGACGCCAUCAUGGCCGACAUGCUCGAGGUGACGCGCAAGCGCGCCCGCUCGAUUGUGCCGCAGAGCGCGAACACGCUGGUGGCGGGCUGCGUGAGGCUGCUCUCAUGUUUCAUUCACGGCUUCGACGAGGAGGCGGCGAUAGCGCAGGCCGGCGGUGAUGAGCGGGUGCACAUGCGCAACAUGGUCAUGCGGGUGGAGGGGUGGUUUCUCUUCUCGCUGGUGUGGUCCGUCGGUGGGUGCCUGGAGCACAAGGAUCGUGAGAUAUUCAGCGCCGCCCUGCACAAACUCCUCGCGGCCCUGCCAGAGCGCGACGGGUGUCGGCACACCUUCACGCUGGCGUUGCCAGAGGCGACGACGUCGUUUUACGAGGUCCGCUUCGAGGACGGCGCGGAGGUGCGCUUGAUGAGCUGGGCCGAUAUGAUGCCCGAGUUGACGAUACAGGCGGAGAGCGAGUACCAGGACAUUAUCGUGCCAACGACGGAGACGGUCAAGUACUCCUUCCUCAUGGGGCUCAUGCUGCGCCACAUGCACCCGGCGCUGCUCGUCGGCGACACCGGCACCGGCAAGACCAUCAUGAUGAAGGCGCUGCUGCGCGGCCUGCCGAAAGACGGCUACUCUGUCAACUUAAUCCAAUUUUCCGCGCAGACCUCCGCCGGCCACCUGCAGCGCCUCAUCGACAGCAACUGCGAGAAGCGCCGAAAGGGGUUCUACGGGCCGCCAAUCAACAAGAAGAUGAUCAUCUUCAUCGAUGACGCCAACCUGCCUCAGCUUGAGGAGUACGGUGCGCAGCCGCCCAUCGAGCUGCUCCGGCAGUACCUCGACCACGGCGGCUGGUACCAGCACAGUAAGGACGGUGUCGAGUUCCGUCACUUGGUGGAUGCGCUGCUCCUGUGCGCUAUGGGGCCGGCGGGCGGCGGCCGAAACGACAUCACGCAGCGCUUUAGCCGUCACUUCAACGUCUUCAGCGUACCAUCCUUCAACGAGUCGACGCUGAAGACGUUGUUUGGGCGCCUAUCGGAGUGGAUCUUCUCCCGCAACUUCCCGAGCGCGCUGCGCGGCAUGAGUGCGCCGCUGGUGGCCGCUACGGUGGAGCUGUACACGAUCCUAGUCGACAACCUCAAACCCUCGCCGGAGCGUUCGCACUACACCUUCAACCUGCGCGACGUGAGCAAGGUGUUCCAGGGCAUGGACAUGACCUACGCCCCAGGCAUCAAGGAUGAGAUGUGCCUGGCGCAGCUGUGGAUGCACGAGGUGUCGCGCGCCUUCGCGGAUCGCUUCAUCGACGACGCCGACACGCACUGGUUCCAUGAACAGGCAAGCCGGACGUGCCUAAAGCACCUCAAGUUGAAUGUCCGCCCGACCAUGGAGGACGGCAGCCCCCUCCUCUUCUCCUCUCUUGCCAACGAUGACGGACGCUACGAGCAGCUCACCGACAUCGCCCACGCUCGCUCGACACUGGAGCGAAAGCAGGAGCUCUACAAGGCCGCCACCCGCAGCGGUGAGCUGAACCUUGUCAUCUUCAACUACGUGCUUGAGCAUGUCGCCCGCAUCAGCCGUGUCCUGCAUCAGCCCGGCGGCCACCUGUUGCUGGUCGGCGUCGGGGGCAGCGGCCGUCGCAGCUGCGCCCGCCUCGGCGCCUUCAUCCAGGAGUGCGACUACCGCACGACGACGCCGACAAAGGACUACGACCACAGCGACUUCCUUGACGACAUCCGCCAACUCCUCCUGCAGACGGGGCAGAAAGGGUACUCGACGGCGUUCGUGCUGGCCGACUCGCAGAUCAUCUCCGAGGCGUUCCUGGAGGACAUCUGCAGCCUGCUGAACACCGGCGAAAUCCCUGGUCUGUGGGACACAAAGCAGGACCGCGAGGUCUACGAUAACGCCGUCGCCUCGCUGCGCGACGUUGGCCGCGCGCUCGGGCGACCCGACACGACGGAGGCGCUGCAGGAGCUUUUCGCCGAGCGGUGCCGGAAGCACCUACACGUGGUGCUGUGCUUCUCGCCGCUUGGCUCGAUGCUGCGCGAGCGGCUGCGCAAGUUUCCUUCCCUCGUGAACUGCACGACGAUCGACUGGUUCCGGGACUGGCCAGAGGACGGCCUCCGCUCUGUCGCCGCGCGCUUUCUCGACGAUGUCGACCUCACGGAGGAGGAGCGGACGUCUAUUCGGCAGAUCUUCGUGCAGUACCAGCAACAGGUGCGCGAACUCAGCGUGAAGUACCGCGCCGAGGCGCGGCAGCAGACCUAUGUCACCCCCACGUCCUAUCUCGACCUCCUCUCCACAUUCGGCCGGAUGCUGGCGCGUAAGCGGCACGAUCUGACUUCGCAGCGAGACCGCUACGUGAAUGGGCUGCGUCAGCUGAAGAAGACGGAGGACCAGGUUGAGGUGAUGCAGCAGGAGCUGGCGCUGCUAAAGCCAGAGCUGGCCACAAAGCAGGCGGAGACGAGUGAGCUCAUUCGCCGGGUGGAGGAGGAGAGCAAGGCUGCGGAGGAGCAGAAGGCUAUCGUGGCGGUGGACGAGGCGGCGGCGAACGCGCAGGCGGCGGCGGCGAAGAAGAUCAAGGAUGCCUCGCAGGAGAAGGUCGACGAGGCGCAGCCGCUGGUGGAGCAGGCACAGCGGGCCGUGCUGGACCUCGAUCCGAAGGCACUGCAGGAGGUGAAGGCACUCAAGACGCCGCCGAAGGGUGUGAAGUAUGUGAUUGAGGUGCUGUGUACGCUGCUCGGCGGUGUCUACAAGCCGAAGCCGAUCCGCGACGCGCUUACCGGCAAGACGAGCGUGCCCUACUGGGAGCACGCGAAGGUGACCCUGCUGACGGCCGACUUCAAGAACACGCUGCUCAACGCGUACUCGGACAUCGUCGACAACGCGCCAGACGCGCAAAUCGAGGAGGUAAAGAAGAAGAUGACGGACGAGAUGUUCAAGAUGGAGAACAUCCGCAAGACCAGCGUGGCGCUCGUCGGCGUCGCGACGUACAUCAAGGCUGUGGUAGAGUACUACAAGCAGAACAAGGUGAUCAAGCCACUGCUAGCGCAGGCGGCGGCGGCGCAGGCCGAGUACGACGAGGCGAUGAUCGGGCUGCAUGCCAAGAAGGAGGAGCUGCGCAUCAUCACGGAGAAGCUGCAGGCACUGACGGAUCACCUCGACGGGGUGAACCGGUCCAAGCAGGAGCUCGAGAACCGCAUCCGCGACACGGACACGAAGCUGACGCGUGCGAAGAAACUGAUCGAGGGCCUCGGCGGCGAGAAGGCGCGCUUCGCACACGAGUCUAAGCGCUACGAAGAGGAGCUCUUGUACGUUGUUGGCAACGUCGUCGUCAGCGCUGGCAUCGUCGCGUACAUGGGGCCGUUCCUGCACAACUACCGCAUGCAGAUCAUCGCUAAGUGGCGCGACAUGUGCGAGGCGCAGCAGCUGCGCGUGUCGGCCGACUACACCUUCGAGAAGUUCUGCGGCAACUCGAUUCACAUUCAGGAGUGGAAGCUGCAGCAGCUGCCCUCCGACCCUUUUUCCGUCGACAACGCCGUUAUCCUGAGCAACUCGAAUCGGUGGCCGCUGAUGGUGGACCCACAGCAGCAGGCAAACCGCUGGAUCCGCAGCCGCGAGCGCGACAACGGCCUCGUCGUCGUGCGCCUCUUUGAGAAGGACUACCUGCGCACGAUCCGGCAGGCCAUAAUGGCCGGCAGCCCGGUGCUGCUGGAGAACGUUGAGGAGACGCUCGAUCCGAUGCUGGAGAACUUGCUGCUGAAGCGGAUCACCAAGGAAGGGUCGAUGUGGGUCAUGCACCUCGGUGAGGCGGUGGAGUGGAAUCAGAAGUUCCGCUUCUACAUAACGACGAAGCUGCCGCGGCCGCACUACCUACCGGAGGUGAGUGCGAAGGUGACUCUCAUCAACUUCCGCAUCACCGAGCAGGGCUUGCAGGACCAGCUGCUGCAGCGCGUCAUGUUGUCUGAGCGGCGCGAAGUGGAGGAGAAGAAGCAGGCGCUAACGCUGGAGGCCGCGGCCAACCAGGCCGGCCUCAAGGCGACGGAGGACCGCAUCCUCGCCAUAUUGUCCACCGAGGGCAACAUCCUUGAGAGCGAAGCGGCCAUCGAGGAGCUCGACAGAUCGAAGGAGCAGAGCGACCGCAUCGAGAAGCGGCAGGAGGAGAUCGACGCGAUGGAGCGCAUCAGCGACCGCACGCGCAACCUCUUCGUGCCGGUGGCGCACCUCGGCGCCAUCCUCUUCUUCUGCGUCACUGAGCUGGCAAACAUCGACCCCAUGUACCAGCACUCGCUCCAGUCGUACAUGGUCAUAUUUCAGGAGGCGCUGGCGAGCAGCGCCAGGUCGAGCGAGGUGGAGGAGCGCACGGAUGCGAUCAACACCACCUUCAAGCGAAGUCUGUACCAGCGUAUCUGCCGCGCCCUCUUCGCGCGCGACCAGCUCCUCUUCUCCUUCAUUAUGUCACUGAAGAUGUUCGCCGUGGACGCGGUGCUGCUGCGCUGGCUGCUGACCGGCGGUACCGAGGAGGACGAACGCGCCACUGCCGUGGCGAAUCCUUUCACAUGGAUGCCAGAGCUGAGUUGGCGGCUGCUACAGCGGGCGAGCACGCAGCUGGCCGGCUUUGAGAACCUCAUCGAGGAUGUGCGGCAGCACGAGAUGUUCUUCGUGGACUACUACGAAUCGUCGAGCCCGCUGGAGCUAAAGCUGCCCGGGGAGCUGCAGAGCAUGCCGAGCAUCGCGAAGAUGGUGCUGGUGCGGUGCCUGCGCAUGGACAAGGUAGUUCCCGCCAUCCGCGCGUACGUUUGCGAGACGCUGGGCGAGUUCUUUGUGGAGCCGCCGCUCUACGCGCUGGAGACGGUCGUGGAGGAGCUUGCUUACGACCCGUCUGUGCCGAUCAUUCUCGUGCUUUCGCCUGGCGCCGAUCCCAACGCCGAGCUCGACCGCGUCGCCGAGCUGCGAGGCAUGUUUCCGAACAGGCUCUUCAAGCUGUCCCUUGGCCAGGGCCAGAACGUGCCGGCCUGCGCCCUCAUCGAAGCGGGUACGAAGAGCGGCCACUGGGUGCUCCUGCAGAACUGCCACCUCUACGCCGACUUCAUGCCACAGCUGUCGCGCAUGAUCGAGGACUACAGCGACGUUGCGGCAAAGGAGCGGCUGCACCGCGACUACCGGCUGUGGCUGACAUCUCUGCCGAGUGAGGUGUUCCCGAUCGUGAUUCUGCAGAACGGCGUCAAGCUCGUGCAGGAGCCACCGAAGGGGCUCAAGAGCAACCUCAUGCAGUCGUACCUCUCCGACCCCGUGGCGGACGCCGAGUUCUUUGGGGCCGCCCGCACGCCGGAGGCGUGGCACAAACUGCUCUUCGGGCUGUGCUUCUUCCACGCUGUGGUGCAGGAGCGUCGGCAAUACGGCCCUCUCGGCUGGAGCCGCCCGUACGAGUUCAACGACACGGAUCGCCGCAUCAGCGUGCGCCAGUUGCAGAUGCUUCUGGAUGAGAAUGAGCUCGUGCCGUAUGAGGCGCUUCUGUACCUCAUCGGCGAGUGCAACUACGGCGGACGUGUGACAGAUGACUGGGACCGGCGUUGCCUGCUGGCCACGCUCGAGGUGUACCUCACUCCGUCCAUCCUGGAGGACAACUACGUCUUCUUCGACGACGCGCAGGAGUAUUUUGCGCCGCCGUUUGGUGAGUACAGCACCUACCUCGCCUACAUCCAGUCCCUGCCGGCGCAGCAGCCCCCCACUGUCUUCGGUUUGCAUGAAAACGCCGAUAUCACAAAGGACGAACGGGACGCCCGCUUCCUGCUCGACGCCACCCUCAGCACGCAGCCGCGCGACGCGGCACCGGCGGCCGACAGCGGCAGCGGUGGUGGCAACAAGGCAGAUCCGAAGACGAUUGUGAAGACGCUGGCCGCAGAUGUGCUGCACCGCCUGCCGCCGCUCUUCGACAUCGAGGCCAUCCAGGCCCGCUACCCGAUCGACUACGCCCAGUCCAUGAACACGGUGUUGCUGCAGGAGGCGAUACGCUACAACCGUCUCCUCGCCGUCGUGCGCGCCUCGCUGGCGGACGUGCAAGACGCCAUCAGCGGCAAGGUGGUGAUGAGCAGCGAGCUGGAGCAGGUGUUUAUGAGCAUGUACGACGGCAAAGUGCCGGAGGUGUGGAAGCGCCGUUCCUACCCGUCGCUGAAGCCGUUCGGUGCGUACGUCAGUGACCUCAUCGCGCGCCUUCAGUUCCUGCGCACAUGGUACGAGGCGGGGCCGCCGCCGUUGUACUGGCUGAGUGGCUUCUUCUUCACACAGUCUUUCCUCACGGGUGUGACGCAGAACUACGCCCGCAAGCACAAGAUCGAGAUCGACAAGCUUAUCUGGGAAUUCACGGUCAUGCCGGCGCCGGCAGAGACCUUCACCGAGACCCCGGAGGAUGGCUGCUACGUGCACGGACUCUUUCUCGAAGGGGCUGGCUGGUCGUACGACGACGGUGUCCUCGCGGAGAGCAAGCCGAAAGAAUUGUAUGUCCCCUUUCCAGUGCUGAGGCUGUCGCCCGCGCUGCCGGAGAAGGUGGCGCAGUGCCCCAUCUACCACUGCCCCUGCUACAAGACGACCGACCGCCGCGGCGUGCUCUCGACGACGGGGCACUCGACCAACUUUAUCCUUACCGUAAACCUCCCCCGCGACGCGCAUGAGUCGGAGAACCACUGGGUACUGCGCGGCACGGCGCUCUUCACGCAACUCGAGUACUAGACGACGCCGUCGUGUGUGUGUGUGUGUGUGUGUGUGUGUGUGUGUGUAAGCCAAGCAAGCAGACACAUGCACCGUUCUUCCGAUUUUUUUUUCCUUCAUCUUCUUCGAUGCACGGGGAAGUAUGAUGAGGCGCCUCCCCCUCCCCUCCCACACGCACAGAUCAGCGCAUGCUGGUGAAUGCGCACAUGAGUCUUUAGAUGUAUGAUGUAUCCAUGGGUGGAUCCUGUUUUUGACUUCCCCCCUCGGCCACUCUCGCUGUGUGAGUGGAGCCGUGCGGUGAGCGAUGUAUCAUAACUGGGAGGGAGUGCAAGCAACGGCGUCGACCGUCUCUGCAGUUGAAACG